rnacentral:rRNA from 1 species
GACAGAGGGGGCAAGCGUUGCUCGGAAUUACUGGGCGUAAAGGGCGCGUAGGCGGGAUGGCAAGUCGGUCGUGAAAUACCUCGGCUCAACUGAGGAGCGUCGAUCGAAACUGCCGUUCUUGAGGGUUGCAGAGGAGACUGGAAUUCCCGGUGUAGCGGUGAAAUGUGUAGAGAUCGGGAGGAACACCGGUGGCGAAGGCGGGUCUCUGGGCCGAUACUGACGCUGAGGAGCGAAAGCGUGGGGAGCGAACAGG